rnacentral:rRNA from 1 species
UGGGGAAUUUUGGACAAUGGGCGAAAGCCUGAUCCAGCAAUGCCGCGUGUGUGAAGAAGGCCUUCGGGUUGUAAAGCACUUUUGUCCGGAAAGAAAUCCUUGGCUCUAAUACAGUCGGGGGAUGACGGUACCGGAAGAAUAAGCACCGGCUAACUACGUGCCAGCAGCCGCGGUAAUACGUAGGGUGCAAGCGUUAAUCGGAAUUACUGGGCGUAAAGCGUGCGCAGGCGGUUUGCUAAGACCGAUGUGAAAUCCCCGGGCUCAACCUGGGAACUGCAUUGGUGACUGGCAGGCUAGAGUAUGGCAGAGGGGGGUAGAAUUCCACGUGUAGCAGUGAAAUGCGUAGAGAUGUGGAGGAAUACCGAUGGCGAAGGCAGCCCCCUGGGCCAAUACUGACGCUCAUGCACGAAAAGGCGUGGGGAGCAAAACAGGAUUAGAUACCCCUGGUAGUCCACGCCCCUAAAACGAUGUCAACUAGUUGUUGGGGAUUUCAUUUUCCUUAGUAACGUAGCUAACGCGUGAAGUUGACCGCCUGGGGAGUACGGUCGCAAGAUUAAAACUUAAAUGAAUUGACGGGGUCAUAGCUGUUU